rnacentral:rRNA from 1 species
CCUACGUGGUGCAGCAGUGAGGAAUAUUGGUCAAUGGGCGCGAGCCUGAACCAGCCAAGUAGCGUGAAGGAUGACUGCCCUACGGGUUGUAAACUUCUUUUAUAAAGGAAUAAAGUGAGGCACGUGUGCCUUUUUGUAUGUACUUUAUGAAUAAGGAUCGGCUAACUCCGUGCCAGCAGCCGCGGUAAUACGGAGGAUCCGAGCGUUAUCCGGAUUUAUUGGGUUUAAAGGGAGCGUAGAUGGGUUGUUAAGUCAGUUGUGAAAGUUUGCGGCUCAACCGUAAAAUUGCAAUUGAUACUGGCAGUCUUGAGUACAGUUGAGGUAGGCGGAAUUCGUGGUGUAGCGGUGAAAUGCUUAGAUAUCACGAAGAACUCCGAUUGCGAAGGCAGCUUACUAAACUGCCACUGACAUUGAUGCUCGAAAGUGUGGGUAUCAAACAGGAUUAGAUACCCGAGUAUC